GGAGCUGGUGGCAGAGAGGAGAGGGAGAAGGAGAGGGAGAGGGAGAGGGAGAGGGCGCGGCGCAGCUGGAGCAGAGAGCCGGGGCUGGCGGGGGCAGCGAGGCGCGGACGGCGGAGCGGCGGGAUGCGGCGGUGUUGGGGCGCAGGGCUGGUGGGACUGGCCGCGGUGCUCCUGGUGGCCAGAGGCAGAGCCCAGGUGCAGCAGGACCUGUCGGCAGAGACCACCGAGGGCACCGGCAUCAGCAUCAACUGCUCACACCCCAACAUACAGUCAAACGAGUUCAUCGUCUGGUACAGUCAGCUCCGGGGCCGAGGCCCCGCAUUCCUCACACUCGCUCACAAAGGAAUGAAAGUGCUGUCGGACCCGCCGGGUUGGCUGUCGGUGGCGGCAGACCGCCGGUCCAGCGCCCUGUGGCUCGAACGGCCCCGGCGCGGGGACGCGGCGGUGUAUUACUGCGCCGUGGGAGACACGGGGAGAGGAGCCGGGGCUGCGGCCGGACACGAACCGCCGCGGGCGGGGCCGGGCGGGUGUGGCGGGGACGGGGAGACAGUCCAAGCCGGGACCGCCAGGGAGCGCUGCCGCUCCCCCCGCCGGGGCCACCUCGCCACACAAAAAUCACAGAAUGGUCGGAGUUGGAAGGGACCUCUGGAGAUCAUCUAGUCCAACCCACCUGCUAAAGCAGGUUCACCAGAGCAGAUCACACAGGAAUGCAUCCAGGUGGGUCUUGAAUGGCUCUGGAGAAGGAGACUCCACAACCUCUCUGGGCAGUCUGUUCCUGGGCUCUGUCACCAUCAAAGUAAAGAAGUUUCUCCUCAUAUUCAGAUGGAAUCUCCUGUGCUUCAGCCUGUGCUCGUUGCCCCUCAUCCUGUCUCUGGGCACCUCUGAAAAGAGCCUGGUUUCAUCCUCUUGACAUGCAUGCAUGAGAUAAUCAUAAACACUGAUGAGAUUCCCUCUCAACCUUCUCCUCUCCAGGCUGAAUAGACACAGCUCCCUCAGUUUCUCUUCAUAAGAAAGGUGCUCUAGGCCCCUAAUCAUCUUCAUAGAUGGACUUUCUGGACUUCCUCCAGUAAUUCCUUAUCCCUCUUCAAAUGGGGAGCCCUGAAAUGGAAGCAGUAGUGCAGAUUCAACCUCACCGUGGCAGAGUAGAGGGGGACGACAACCUCCCUUGACCUGCUGGUCACACUCUUUAUGUACCCCAGGAUACCGUUGGCUUUCUUAGCCUCAAGGGCACAUUGUUGACUCAUGGUCAACCUGUUGUAAUUUAGAACUCCCAAGUCCUUCUCUGCACAGCUGCUUUCCAGCAGGUCCACCUCUAAGCUGUACUGGUACCUGGGGUUAUUCCUUCCCAGGGGCAGGACCCUACACUUACCCAUGUUAAACUUCAUCAGUUGUCUGACUAGCACCAGCAUCAGAAAUGCCAGGGUGUCACAGCUGCCCCCAUGCCCCGUAGGCCUGGGAGUCAUCCACAGACAAGUCUCCAGACUCUUGUACUGGGCAAAAACAUUCUCUUACCUCUCAUCCCCCUCUCACUCCCACCAGGAUACAGACAGAAAGACCCAGUGACAGCGGUGAGGAAUUAUGACCGGAGCGGUGCCAGUGUCCUGUGGUGCCCAGGAAGGAGUGAUUGCAGCUGCUGCCCCGCUGGCUCAUGGCGAGGAGCAGCAAGUUUCCACUCUGCACAGGGAGGCAGGCAACAGAGAUCCUUCUGCCCAUGGGCAGCCACACAGCCCUUGCUCCCACUGCACUGACCGGCCACUGCUCCCAUGGAACAGAAGGGGUCUGUUCUCGGGUUUUUUCCUUUCCCCACCAGCACAGCCAAGAGAUCCCUGAGCAGGUGUUUUCCGCUGGUCUGUAAACAGAAGGACCCCAAUGCUACGAUGCUAAUGCAAAAUUUGACUUAGAAAACAAAAACCAGAAGGGGUUUCCCAUUUUGUUACUUUGUUGGAGCUUGGGUAUGUAGUUUAAAACUGUGUCCUCCAGAUACAAGCUUUCAGGGAGAUUUCAAAAUGUUCCUGCUAGUGUUCCAAAGUCACUGCAUGCAUGCAGUUCAGGAGUUCAAGCUCCACACAAACCAGGAACAGGGCAUGUCAAGGUCACGGGCACCUUCAAGCACUCCCAACUGUGGCUGAGUGUUGAGACCAGGAGCUUGCGUGACAGAAUUCAGCAGCUCUGUAGUUGAGGCCCAGGAGACAGGGUAAAAGCUUGGGAUGGUCACACUGACCACAGCCCUAAGGGAUGCCAGGGAUGCCUGCUUGAAGAGUGAGACAGAAAAAGAUUGUUAAACUACCCUAAGGGGCUGGAUGUCUGAGGUGAGAGCUGGCACUGAAGCAGGGACUGGUCAGUGAACUUCUAGGGGUGAGCCCUGUGGCUGACCACUACAGUCCCCCCUGCCUUCUUAUUAAAUCCUUUUUAAGCAAGAAAGAGAAAGGCUGUGUCAGCCUGGAGACCCUCUACAUCUCUGGGAACCUUUCUUUAAGUUAUGAGUAGGUACAGCACAUCCCUGAGUUGAGGACUCCACCGGGAGCAGACCAGGAGCAGCCCCUUCCCAUGAUGGGGCCCCCAGAGGGCACAGGGCAUCUCAUUUUUGAAAUGUCCAGAAUGUUGAGGAAGCCACAGGUGUUGCUGCUGGAGGACGGAGAAACCCAGAAGGAGCAUUUCAGGCACAAGAACAACACAUCACUUCCCUUCCCCACUUCUACAUUUGCUCCCCCACGAGAGUGGUUUCCCAUAGCUCUGGUAUCUCAGGGCUGGGAGGUGCUUUUCUGACUCUCACUCACUGAACAAGCAGAUUGGUCUCGGCAUGCACCUCGGGUAUCUCGUCCUCACUGCCUUCCUGGGACAACUGUUGGGUAAGUCCUGGUUUUCUAUAAAUGCAUCAUUCUUAUUCUUCUCCCAAGGAAACCCCCAUGAACCUUAUCAAGGUGAUGCAGACAACUACUCAUGAAUAACAGCAAAAUGCUGGGAAAUAUCACCUCUUAUUUCUGUUUGUUCACUGGUUCUCUCUAUUACUGUUGGAAAUGAGAAGGGAAAGAUACCUCAGAUCCUUUCUCUGCCUUUUCUCUGCCCUUUAACCGAUCUCUCUCUGCCUCUCUCUGCUGACCUACAUGCUGUCCCCACAGGCGAUCUCACAUCUCUCUGCACUCCCACAUUUCUCCCUUUACCAUCUCAAUUAUUAACAGCCGAUCCUGUCAAAAUCAUUACACGGAAUUUAAAGCUCUCAUCCAAUUGACAUUAACAGGGUGUCGCAUUCUACCUCUGGGCUGGUACAUGUCUGUCAUGACCUCCAGUUUGCUCCUAGUUGUUGACACAGACAGGGCUCCCUCUUUCCAACAUUCAACUCAGCUGUGUGUUGACUCAGGGAGCCAGGAACAUAUGAGAUGACAGGGAAUCAGGAUGAAUCUUCUUGUCAUACCUCUGCAGGCCCCUCAACCUGCUGAAGGGCUGCAGGCCCCAGCACAUGAAGGUCAGGUAUGACAGGCUGUUCCCUGGUCCUCUGGGCAGUAGGGGCAGGAGCAGGGACACAGCACAGCUCUCCUCAGAGUCCAGCUCUAAUCUCCUGGCCAGAACUACUCUCCACCUUGCUGUCCCCAAGCAUCAGGAUUCUCCUGCAGGGCAAGGGACAAGGAGACUUCUCCUGGAGAGUUUUGCAUUAAUUCCUAGUUUGCUUUCCAGAGCCCUUCCCUGCAGAGCUGCUGACCUUCACUUUCUUCCAGGCACCAUGGGGCAGGUCACUGUCACCCAGCAAGAAGAACAAGUCACAGUGAAGCAGAAAGACACCUUCCAAACAACCUGUACAUACCAGACCUCGUACUUCAAAGGCUUACUCUGGUACCAGCAGA